rnacentral:rRNA from 1 species
CCAAUAGCGUAUAUUAAAGUUGUUGCAGUUAAAAAGCUCGUAGUUGAAUUUCGGGAUCAAUAUGCCGGUCAUGCCUUGGUAUGUACUGGUAUCUUUGAUUUCUCCCUUCUGACGAACUUUGAUGUCAUUAAUUUGGUGUCAUAGGGAAUCAGGACUGUUACUUUGAAAAAAUUAGAGUGUUUAAAGCAGGCUCACGCUUG